GUUUGCAUCAUCUAUUGGUAGGAUAUGGGGCUCAUGACCCCAAGGAUGGGGUUCGAUUCCUCAUGCAAACA
rnacentral:tRNA from 1 species